GGGUCACCGCCAAUUGAGUCGGCACUGUGCUCACCAGUCACCACCAUGUGGCCCGCCUCGGCGCCCGGCCUCCACCCGCCGUCUCGCCGCCUCUCCGGCCGGCUCGCCCCGCCCUCACCAGCACCACGGUCCUCCGUACGGUGAUAGGGUCGCCACGCCACCCGCCUCAGCGCUGCCCGCACGCGCCUCCUAGGUCACCACUGCCCGCCCGCUGCUCCAGUGUACACAGGAAAAAACGGUUGAUCUGAGCGAAGAGGCUCUACUAAAUUAGCAUCAAAUUGUCAGCAAGACGUUCCGUAGCGAGGAAGAAGGGUAUGGGUUUUACAACAGCUAAGCACUUGAUAGAGGGUUUACUGUGAGGAGAUGCUACGUGGAAAGAGACACGACAACAAAGAAAUUAUGUCUAAGGAAAUUUCUGUGCGAUCGUCAGGGGUUCCAUGAAGCUAGGCACAUGAACAAAGCGAUUAAGAAGAGAAAGCCACAGAAUUUGAGUCAUUGGGGGUGUCUAGCCAAAAUGCUGAUUAAACUCAACAAGGAUAUAGGACAGUGAAGAGUUUAGAAAAUUUCUAUACGUUCUAUAGAAGAGGUUGAGAGGAAAUGGGACGAAUUUUUAGAAAGGAACAAAAUUUCAAGCAAGCACGAGUGUCUGCAUCAAAUGUACCAGAUUAGGAACCUAUGGUGUGCUGCAUAUCAGGUGGACCGAUGUUUCUUAGGCUUGAGGAGCAACCAACGCAGUGAAAGUCUUAAUUCAAAACUGCAUAGAAAUCUGGAUAGGAAGAUGAUGCUAUUAGAUAUGUAUGAACACUAUGAGCAUUGCUUGGCCAAUCUGCGUCGAAAUGAGACAUAUAUAGAUGCUCCAGCAUCUUAGUCUAUUUCAUUCAGGGAAAAGCAAGCUGAUCCUAUGGCGAAACAUGUUGCUGAAGUUUUUACACCUAAAGUAUUUGCAUUGGUGAAGGAAAAAUGGAUUCUGUAGGAAAUUAUGUUAUUUGGGACAUACAAGAUGGAUGUGACAGCACACCAUAUGGCAUUAGUGUGAAGAACAGAAGGGAGUGGAAGUUCCAGGUUCAUUGUGAAAUCAAUGAUGAGUCCACAAUAAGUCUGAUUCGGUGCUUUUGUUGUAAGCUGGAACGCGAUGGCAUACCUUGUGGUCACAUCUUCUGUGUCUUGAAAGUAUUGCGUGCAGAAUGAAUUCCAAGUUGCUGUGUGCUUAUUCUACCAGCCUUUCUUCCUCUGGAGUCCAGGCUAUGUGAUUCCUGGAGCUAUGGAGGACCUGGAGCCCACUGAAGAUUGCUACCUUCCUCUAUUGCAAGCCAUGUAGCGAUCCUACUGCCUAAAUUUGUUUUGUGUGCUUCCUCAUAAUUUAGUGGACAAUUCAAUCCUUGAUGUAAGAUAUGCAACCGAACUUGUAAAUAUCAUGUCAAUUUCAGUGUGAUUCACCUGGCAGCUAAACUAAACUGUGUUCUGCUUUAUGCUUGUGCAUGUAUGCCCUGGUAAUUAGUAAGUCUAAACUUCUUAAUGCAAAACUAAACUAUGUUCAUAUCCUUUAUGCUUGUGCCUGUAUGCUCUGGUAAUUAGUAA